UACGUAGGUGGCGAGCGUUGUCCGGAUUUACUGGGCGUAAAGAGCGCGCAGGCGGUCGUACAAGUCGCGUGUGAAAGCCCCCGGCUCAACUGGGGAGGGUCACGCGAUACUGUUCGACUCGAAGGCAGGAGAGGGAAGCGGAAUUCCCGGUGUAGUGGUGAAAUGCGUAGAUAUCGGGAGGAACACCAGUGGCGAAGGCGGCUUCCUGGCCUGUUCUUGACGCUGAGGCGCGAAAGCUAGGGUAGCAAACGGGG
rnacentral:rRNA from 1 species